rnacentral:rRNA from 1 species
CUACGGGUUGCACCAGUGGGGAAUCUUGCGCAAUGGGCGAAAGCCUGACGCAGCAACGCCGCGUGCGGGAUGAAGGCCUUCGGGUUGUAAACCGCUUUUAACAGGAACGAAAAUGACGGUACCUGUAGAAUAAGGUGCGGCCAACUACGUGCCAGCAGCCGCGGUGACACGUAGGCACCAAGCGUUGUCCGGAUUUAUUGGGCGUAAAGAGCUCGUAGGCGGUUCAGUAAGUCGGGUGUGAAAACUCUGGGCUUAACCCAGAGACGCCACUCGAUACUACUGUGACUAGAGUUCGGUAGGGGAGCGGGGAAUUCCUAGUGUAGCGGUGAAAUGCGCAGAUAUUAGGAGGAACACCGGUGGCGAAGGCGCCGCUCUGGGCCGAUACUGACGCUGAGGAGCGAAAGCGUGGGUAGCAAACAGGAUUAGAUACCCGGGUAGUC